rnacentral:tRNA from 1 species
CAUUAAGUGACUGAAAGUUAAAGUAAUGGUCUCUUAAACCAAAAAAUAGUGUAUAACGAACACUCUUAAUG